GAUGAACGCUAGCUACAGGCUUAACACAUGCAAGUCGAGGGACCGGCGCACGGGUGAGUAACACGUAUCCAACCUGCCCUUUACUCGGGGAUAGCCUUUCGAAAGAAAGAUUAAUACCCGAUGUAAAGGAUGGGGAGGCGUUCCAUUAGGUUGUUGGUGAGGUAACGGCUCACCCGGCCUUCGAUGGAUAGGGGUUCUGAGAGGAAGGUCCCCCACAUGGGAACUGAGACCAGGUCCAAACUCCGACGGGAGGCAGCAGUGAGGAAGAUUGGUAAAUGGGCGUUAGUCUGAACCAGCCAAGUAGCGUGAAGGAUGAAGGCUUAUUGGUCGUAAACUUCUUUUAUAUAAGAAUAUGUAUUAUAUGAAUAAGGAUCGGCUAACUCCGUGCCAGCAGCCGCGGUAAUAC
rnacentral:rRNA from 1 species